CUCUCUCUCGAACUCUAGAACUCUGUUCUCUCUCUCGAACUCUAGAACUCUGUUCUCUCUCUCGAACUCUCUUGCUCUCGAACCCUCUUCUUUGUGGAGUCAUCUUCAUCAAUCCUUCACUCGAACCCUCUUCUUUGUGGAGUCAUCUUCAUCAAUCCUUCAUCAACCAUUCAUUCACCUCUCCUCUCCAACCUUCAGUCAGCUCUCGUGUCGAACAUUCGUCUCAAACCUUCAGUCACCUCCCCUAUGAAUCGUCUCUUCUCUACAGCUGUAAAUCAUUCUUCUCUAGAGCCCUAAAUCUGACGUAGUUGGAUUUUGACGAGGCAUCAAUUGAGGCUGUUGUGUUGCGGUUUAAGCUGAGACAUAGAACUUGGUGCUGCGAAGGCCGAAGGAACCACAAAGAGUUGCACUUGGUACCUGCAAUCCAGUAUACAACAAGGUUCUUUUAUCAACCAAAGCUCCUAGUAAGACCUGAACCAAUUAAUAAUUGUACUUUUGCAAUGUAUGCUUAUGCAACUGUACCUAAAAUAUUA